GACGAACGCUGGCGGCGUGCUUAACACAUGCAAGUCGAGCGGAAAGGCCUUUCGGGGUACUCGAGCGGCGAACGGGUGAGUAACACGUGAGUAAUCUGCCCCGCACUCUGGGAUAGCCACCGGAAACGGUGAUUAAUACCGGAUAUGACGCAUCUCCGCAUGGGGGUGUGUGGAAAGUUUUUUCGGUGUGGGAUGUGCUCGCGGCCUAUCAGCUUGUUGGUGGGGUAAUGGCCUACCAAGGCUUCGACGGGUAGCCGGCCUGAGAGGGUGACCGGCCACACUGGGACUGAGACACGGCCCAGACUCCUACGGGAGGCAGCAGUGGGGAAUAUUGGACAAUGGGCGGAAGCCUGAUCCAGCAACGCCGCGUGAGGGAUGACGGCCUUCGGGUUGUAAACCUCUUUCAGCACAGACGAAGUUUUGUCUUUUGGGCGAAGUGACGGUAUGUGCAGAAGAAGGACCGGCCAACUACGUGCCAGCAGCCGCCGUAACAC
rnacentral:rRNA from 1 species